GAAGAAAUAAGAAGGCGCACAUCGCAGAAGAAGCGACGAGACCAAAAAGACAACAUGAGAGCAAGCGGACAUAAACGCUCAUAACGAAAAAUACAAAAAAACUAAAUUAUGUGGUACAUGCAUUUGGAAUAUCGCUCAAAAACUUACAUUUGAAAUAAUCGAUUUCAUUCGAUAUAUUGCGCCGCCCUAUGGAUAGGGUCUAGUCGCGAAAGUGCAGACACGAAACAUCGGAACCAUUUUGAGAAUUGUAAACAUUCGUCAUUCAUGCUUGGCAGUGCUCGUUUUAGCUCAAUUCUCAAUGGCAGUGGUGGGCUACUAGCUAGUUAACCGAAUAAUUAUAGAGAGAUAGUGACAUAAAGACUAAUUUAAAAUCCAAUACUUUUUUGGUAUAAGGAAAGUAUCAGCAUGAUGCAAAGCAAAAGCUAAAAACGUGCUUGCUUAUCAUAGAGAUAAUCAUUUAGCGCGAGCCAAGUUACUCCCCACGGAAUUUCUUCUUUGACCGACCUUUCUUUUUCUUUCCACAACAAUUAGUUGAAGUUGUUAUGAUGUUGGCGUGUCAACGAUUUGUGAGUGUUGUGAGGAACUCAAGGACACUAUCACGACAUGUCACUACUUGGUCUCCGGUUGGAGCAGCAUUCAAUGCCCAGCAGACGAAAGUUGAUUUGUUUCAGAAGAACGUGGGAUUAUUCGGGGUUCCAGGGUUGAGUACUCCGGCUGGUUUCGAGGUGGCUCAGCAACGAGCGCUCAGGGAAACAGAACAGUUGGUAGAAACAGCCUGCAAUAACCCACCAGGCGCCCUGACCGUGGAGACCUUCGAUCAACUUUCUGACAGCCUUUGCAAAGUGGCAGAUUUGGCAGAUUUUGUCAAAGUUGGCCAUCCAGACCCUGCCUUUCGGGAUGCUGCUGAGAAGGCAUGCAUAAACAUUGGCACAGUAGUAGAAAGGCUGAACACUAAUGUUGAACUGUGUAGGAGUCUCAAGAACCUACUAGAUAACAAAGAGGUUCUGGAUUCUUUGGACCCAGAUACAAGGAGAGUAGCAGAACUGUUCAUGUUUGAUUUUGAGAUCAGUGGCAUUCAUCUGGAUGAAUCAAAGAGAGGGAAGGCGGUGAGCCUCAAUGUCAACCUGCUGGAUCUGAACAAUGAAUUUCUAAAUGGCACCCACCUGCCCAAUAGGAUAGAGAAGACGGCCCUGCCAGAACACAUCCGACACUGCUUCUCCAUAGACGGCAACUCCAUCCAGAUUGGAGGUCUCCAUGCAGAUUCUCCUGAUGAACUGGUGCGGGAGGCUGCUUAUAAAAUCUUUCUCUUCCCGAAUUCAAGUCUGCUGCUUUGUCUGGAUGACCUGUUGACUUGUAGGAAUGAGCUAGCCAAAUUAGUGGGCUAUGAAUCUUUUGCACACAGGGCUUUAAAUGGAACUAUGGCCAAGACUCCAGAGACUGUCAUGAAAUUCCUUGAAUUGCUGACAGACAAACUCUCGGACAGAACUGCCAAAGAUUUUAAGCUGAUGAGGGAUAUGAAGAUAAAAAUGAACUCAAGAAGUACCGAACUCAUGCCAUGGGACCACUCCUACUUCAGCAGCGCUGUGCGGGCAGAGAGGUAUAAGAUCGAUCCCAGUCUGUACAGUCCUUACUUCUCCUUAGGGGCCUGCAUGGAGGGCCUCAACAUGCUGUUCAGCCAGCUGCUGGGAGUCUCCUUCCAGAAUGAACAGCCCAUGGCAGGAGAGGUGUGGAGUGAAGAAGUCCGCAAGCUGGCUGUUGUCCAUGAGACCGAGGGUCUUCUGGGAUACAUCUACUGUGACUUCUUCCGAAGGCCUGACAAACCACACCAGGAUUGCCACUUCACCAUCCAAGGGGGGCGUCUUAAGAAGGAUGGGGAGUACCAACAUCCUGUUGUGGUGCUGAUGCUGAGCCUGCCCCCUCCCACACGUAGCACCCCGACACUGCUCAACCCCGGCAUGAUGGAGAACCUGUUCCACGAGAUGGGCCACGCCAUGCAUUCCAUGCUGGGACGCACGCGUUACCAACAUGUCACAGGAACUAGAUGCUCCACUGACUUUGCUGAAGUCCCCUCCAUCCUCAUGGAGUUCUUUGCCACAGACUAUCGGGUGGUAAAUCAGUUUGCACGGCACUAUCAGACCGGACAGCCCCUGCCCAAGAGCAUGGUCUCUCGCCUUUGUGAAUCCAAGAGAAUCUGUGGGGCUGCCGACACUCAGCUUCAGGUUUUUUAUGCUGCUUUGGAUCAAGUGUAUCAUGGCAAGCCACAAAAUCAGUCAACGACAGACAUUCUAAAAAAGAUGCAAGAGAAAUUCUAUGGACUACCUUACGUUCCAAAUACUGCCUGGCAGCUGAGAUUCAGCCACCUCAUUGGGUACGGUGCUAAGUACUACUCAUACCUCAUGUCGCGUGCCAUAGCCUCCAUGGUGUGGAGGCAGUGCUUUCAAAAAGACCCCUUCAACAGGGUCUUGAAGGUGGCUGAGGUGCACAGAUGACCAGCUCGGAAACCAGAAUGCAUAGCGGAGAAGGUACGGUGGGAUUUGAAAUGGUCGGUGAUCUGUUUGUUAACUUGGCUUUUGAAGAUUUUACUUUAGGGAAAUCUCUACUAGCUGGGUUUACUCACACUAGUCUGAACAUGACAGGGACAGAAAAAUGACCACACACCCACAUCACAGAUAUCACUGUGACAUCAGGGGAUUUGUGUUUAGAAAUGGAGUAUUGUUUUACCUGGGGUGUUAUGUUUUCUCAGAGCUGUUUUUUUUCUCUCUGCUCUUUGUGUCUCUGUCAUGGGGGCUUGUAGAGUGGCAGACUACAGUCAGUGGCAGUGAAAGCACAGCUCAACCCACAGGAAAACCAAGCCAGUACAGUAUUCAGACAUAUCCUUAUCUGUCUGACAUAAACCCCAAUCCUAUCUCUCUCUACCUCUCUGUCUCUGCCUAUUCACCCCUUCUGUUUAAUGUCCCCACACAGGGACAUGGGAGAGCGAUAUCGAAGGGAGAUGCUAGCUCAUGGAGGUAGUAAGGAGCCCAUGCUUAUGGUGCAAGGCAUGCUUCAGAGCUCCCCUACCGUU